GAGUUUGAUCGUGGCUCAGGAUGAACGCUGGCGGCGUGCCUAAUACAUGCAAGUCGAACGAACAGAUAAGGAGCUUGCUCCUUUGACGUUAGCGGCGGACGGGUGAGUAACACGUGGGUAACCUACCUAUAAGACUGGGAAUAACUCCGGGAAACCGGGGCUAAUGCCGGAUAACAUGUUGAACCGCAUGGUUCUACAGUGAAAGACGGUCUUGCUGUCACUUAUAGAUGGACCCGCGCCGUAUUAGCUAGUUGGUGGGGUAACGGCCUACCAAGGCGACGAUACGUAGCCGACCUGAGAGGGUGAUCGGCCACACUGGAACUGAGACACGGUCCAGACUCCUACGGGAGGCAGCAGUAGGGAAUCUUCCGCAAUGGGCGAAAGCCUGACGGAGCAACGCCGCGUGAGUGAUGAAGGUCUUCGGAUCGUAAAGCUCUGUUGUUAGGGAAGAACAAAUGUGUAAGUAACUGUGCAUAUCUUGACGGUACCUAACCAGAAAGCCACGGCUAACUACGUGCCAGCCGCCGCGGUAAUACCG
rnacentral:rRNA from 1 species